rnacentral:rRNA from 1 species
GUCUACAGCCAUACCAUCUCAUCUGAUCUCAGAAGCUAAGCAGGGUCGGGCCUGGUUAGUACUUUGAUGGGAGACCACCUGUGACUACUGGGUGCUGUAGGCU